GCCAUGGAGAAGCAAGGUAUAAUGUAAAUAGUACAGUAUAAGUAUAAAUAGUAUUAAAUGAAUAAAGGCUAUACUGAAAAGUAUGCAUACACACACACGGGUCCUGUGUAAUACUCAACUGGACAGGUCCAGACAUUAGGAGGACUGUAUUCAUCUUGGCUAGACCCAAAUACUGCCAUUCAUUAUUCAUGCUUCUUCCUUAGAAAUCCAACAUGGUGGCAUCUCAGGCUGUGGAUGAGAAUGCAGCCAGUUCCUCUCCUAACGAAGCAACAAAGGACUGCGAUCAUGAUCUAGUCCCUGACGAAAUGUCAAGUUUAGAAAAAUGUUUUGCAUGUGGAGGACCUUUUUCGCCUCUGAAAUGGAAUGGUGUGAGAUGUGAAGUUUGCUACCAGUCCUGGCACAAAAGAUGUUAUGUUAGCC
ensembl:lncRNA